CAGCCGCCACGGUAAUACGUAGGGUGCAAGCGUUAAUCGGAAUUACUGGGCGUAAAGCGUGCGCAGGCGGUUAUAUAAGACAGAUGUGAAAUCCCCGGGCUCAACCUGGGAACUGCAUUUGUGACUGUAUAGCUAGAGUACGGCAGAGGGGGAUGGAAUUCCGCGUGUAGCAGUGAAAUGCGUAGAUAUUCGGAGGAACACCGAUGGCGAAGGCAAUCCCCUGGGCCUGUACUGACGCUCAUGCACGAAAGCGUGGGGAGCAAACAGGAUUAGAUACCCCGGUAGUCCCUGUCUCUUAUAC
rnacentral:rRNA from 1 species